UACGGAGGGGGCUAGCGUUGUUCGGAAUUACUGGGCGUAAAGCGGGUGUAGGCGGAUCUCUAAGUCGGGGGUGAAAGCCCUGGGCUCAACCCAGGAAUUGCCUUCGAUACUGGAGAUCUCGAGUGUGGGAGAGGUGAGCGGAAUUCCGAGUGUAGAGGUGAAAUUCGUAGAUAUUCGGAGGAACACCAGAGGCGAAGGCGGCUCACUGGACCAUUACUGACGCUGAGACCCGAAAGCGUGGGGAGCAAACAGG
rnacentral:rRNA from 1 species